rfam:Pteropus alecto contig109416, whole genome shotgun sequence.
AUCUAUGGUCAUGCCUCCCUGAACACGCCCGAUCUCAUCUGAUCUUGGAAGCUAAGCAGGGUUGGGCCCGGUUAGUACUUGGAUGGGAGACCACCUAGGAAGACUGGGUGCUGUAGGCG